rnacentral:rRNA from 1 species
UACGUAGGUGGCAAGCGUUGUCCGGAUUUACUGGGCGUAAAGAGCGCGCAGGCGGCUGGUCAAGUCCGAUGUGAAAUCUCCCGGCUCAACCUCGAGACGUCGACGGAAACCGUCUGGCUAGAGUCCGGAAGAGGAGUGUGGAAUUCCUGGUGUAGCGGUGAAAUGCGCAGAUAUCAGGAGGAACACCGGUGGCGAAGGCGGCAUCCUGGACCGGCAUUGACGCUGAGGCGCGAAAGCUAGGGGAGCAAACGGG